AUUGAACGUUGGCGGCAUGCCUUACACAUGCAAGUCGAACGGCAGCGGGGGAGAAGCUUGCUUUUCCUGCCGGCGAGUGGCGAACGGGUGAGUAAUACAUCGGAACGUGCCCUGUAGUGGGGGAUAACUAGUCGAAAGAUUAGCUAAUACCGCAUACGACCUGAGGGUGAAAGUGGGGGACCGCAAGGCCUCAUGCUAUAGGAGCGGCCGACGUCUGAUUAGCUAGUCGGCGGGGUAAAGGCCUACCAAGGCGACGAUCAGUAGCUGGUCUGAGAGGACGAUCAGCCACACUGGGACUGAGACACGGCCCAGACUCCUACGGGAGGCAGCAGUGGGGAAUUUUGGACAAUGGGCGAAAGCCUGAUCCAGCAAUGCCGCGUGUGUGAAGAAGGCCUUCGGGUUGUAAAGCACUUUUGUCCGGAAAGAAAUGGCUCUGGUUAAUACCUGGGGUCGAUGACGGUACCGGAAGAAUAAGGACCGGCUAACUACGUGCCAGCCGCCGCCGUAA
rnacentral:rRNA from 1 species